GGGGGCACUCUGUGUCUCACAGAGCCUCCCGUUCCAAUACCAAGAAACAAAUCCAUCCAGCAGAGCAGCUUUCUUCCUACUUCCACACCUAAAGCGAGCCCUGGGGUGAAGGCACCCUCUGACACUCUCUCGAAAAGAACAGACGAGACAGAAUGGCAGGAGGACACAUUCAGAUGACAUUUGAGAGUUAACCGGCAGAGGAACUCCUGAGGCGGUCGGGGAGACAGUUGGAUUCAAGGUACCUAGUGUGGGAUCUGGGGAUCUGGGUUGAGAUGCUGGCACUGCCUUUCUCAUGCUGUGCAGCUGAAGGCAUUCCAGCAGUGAUCAUUCAGCCAAAUUUAGCGGAAGA